GCACCUGAUCUUUCCCAUUCCUUGCUGCUUAGUGUGGGCCUGGGGACACAUGGUGCUUACAGAAAAGCAGAGUAAAUCCAGACAGGUGUCGUCUUUCCUUGAGUACCUGUCUCUACACCUCUGUGACAGUU
ensembl:snoRNA